rnacentral:rRNA from 1 species
GACGUAGGGCGCGAGCGUUGUCCGGAUUUAUUGGGCGUAAAGAGCUCGUAGGCGGUUUGUCGCGUCUGCUGUGAAAACCCGAGGCUCAACCUCGGGCCUGCAGUGGGUACGGGCAGACUAGAGUGCGGUAGGGGAGACUGGAAUUCCUGGUGUAGCGGUGAAAUGCGCAGAUAUCAGGGAGGAACACCGGUGGGCGAAGGCGGGGUCUCUGGGCCGUAACUGACGCUGGAGGAGCGAAA